rnacentral:RNase_P_RNA from 2 species
GGAGAGAACCGGGUAGUCGCCCCAAGCUAUGGGGAGGAAAGUCCGGACAGGUGGAGCCCCGGUGCUGGGCAACUCCCAGGGGAAGUGAUUCCACGGAAAGUGCCACAGAAAAGAUACCGCCUGAAUCCUCAGGUAAGGGUGAAAAGGUGGUGUAAGAGACCACCACUCGAAUGGAGACAUUCGAGGUAGGGCAAACCCCACCGGAUGCAAGGUCAAGCAGGGGGUGCCAGGCUCCAGGUAAACCUCCGGGUAGACCGCUCGAGACUGGAAGUAAUUCCAGCCCCAGAGAGAUGACUAUCAUCCAUCAACAGAUGGAUACAGAAUCCGGCUUACAGGUUCUCUCCCCUC